UGCAGAUAAGCAAGGAGAUGAAGGGAGAGUCUCUAAGAGGUGAAAAAGAUAGCUUCCGAAGAAUCCCAAGGACUGGCUCCAGCCCUAUACAGAACAAGUAAAGACAAACCACACAACUCAAUUUUCUUUCAAUCUUUAUGUAUUCCAAAUGGUUUUUGCAUCUCUGUGAGUGUAUGAUUGACACCAAGAUUGUGUAUUUUUGUACCAGGAUUGAUCCCCUAACCGAUGUAAGAGGAAGUAGGAAACAACAUAUCACAGCAAGAGAACCAUAGAUUUCAUUUAUUUUUGUCUUGGAUCUAUUUUUUUUUUUUGGGUGGCAUAGCGUAUUUACACUUAUUUCUGGAUGCUGCAAUGUAAUCUUAUAAGCUUUGCUACUGUUAACAGCUCCUAGAGUGGGCUUAGACCUCUAUAAGUUCGUUUGUAGUGUUAUAUGAAAAGACUGUUUUAAUAGCAUUCUUUUAAGUGUAGAUCUAGCCAGAACGGCUUCAAAUAUGCUGCCAUCUUCAUUAAAAAGUAGAGAAAAAAGAACUGUGGCACAGAGAUGAGAAAAAUGCAGCUUGACUAGAUAUGAUAGAGUAAG
rnacentral:lncRNA from 1 species